rnacentral:rRNA from 1 species
UACAGAGGUCUCAAGCGUUGUUCGGAUUCAUUGGGCGUAAAGGGUGCGUAGGCGGCGCAGUAAGUCGGGUGUGAAAUCUCGGAGCUUAACUCCGAAACUGCAUUCGAUACUGCCGUGCUUGAGGACUGGAGAGGAGACUGGAAUUUACGGUGUAGCGGUGAAAUGCGUAGAUAUCGUAAGGAAGACCAGUGGCGAAGGCGGGUCUCUGGACAGUUCCUGACGCUGAGGUGCGAAAGCGUGGGGAGCAAACAGG